UACGUAGGGUGCGAGCGCUAAUCGGAAUUACUGGGCGUAAAGCGUGCGCAGGCGGUUUUGUAAGCCAGAUGUGAAAGCCCCGGGCUUAACCUGGGAAUGGCAUUUGGGACUGCAAGGCUUGAGUGCGGCAGAGGAGACUGGAAUUCCUGGUGUAGCAGUGAAAUGCGUAGAUAUCAGGAGGAAUACCGAUGGCGAAGGCAGGUCUCUGGGCUGACACUGACGCUCAUGCACGAAAGCGUGGGGAGCAAACAGG
rnacentral:rRNA from 1 species